UCUUCACCACAUUCCUGCCUCAGCCUAAAGUUUGGCACAUGGCGCAUGCCCCAUAAGUAUAUGUCGCAUGAAUGAGUAUCAAAACAAAUAGGUACCAGGAAACACUGGAGAAAUGGCCUGUCUUUAGUGCAUACAUCGAAGAGAAAAAGAAGUCCAGCUUCAGCUUGCCCAUCAACUGGCUGUGGAAGUGCCAUCGGUUAAUUAAUUUCAAUCUCAGAUCACCUGAGUGUAAAUUGUACAGCGACUUUUAAGGAAAAGUGUCUGCUACAGCGAUGGCAACCCUGGUGAUGGAAGACACAUGACUGAGGAAAGUGGCUGAGGUGACUUGGAGAAAGGUAGUAAUUGGAAUUCUACUGUGAAGACGAAUUUACCCAUCAGUGGAGAAAACAGGCAGAAGCCACAUUAACCAAAUGAUCAGCGUUAAGAUCAUCAGUAAUGGGGCAAACUGACAUGUGUUUGUAGGUGUGCUGCACCAAGAAGCUCACAUCUCUUCUGUCAAGAAUACAGAAUUGAAAUUUAGUUAUGAGGAAAUAUUAGACAAACCAAAAUGGAGGGACAUUUUGUAAAAUAACUGGCCAGUAGUCCUCCACAGUGUCACAUCCUGAGGAACUAACAUCCAAUUAAAAGAGGUAAACAAAACAAGGCAAGUAAUUGCAAACAUGUGAUCUUGAAUUAUAGCCUGGACCAGAAAAUGGACAUUAGGGAAACAAUUGGUGAAAUUUGAAUAAAAUGUGUAGGUCAGAUAACAGUAUUAUACCAAUGUGGUUUCCCCCCCUAAUUUUUAUAUCUGUACUAUGGCUACUCAAGAUGUUAUCAUUGGGGGUGGGGGGUUAGGGCACUGAGGUGAAGGAUAUACAGAAAUUCUUUGUAAUAUUUUUGCAACUUUUAAGUCAGCAGUUAUUUCAAAUGAAGAGUUACAAAUAAAAAAAUUA